GAAAUCGAUCAAGAACAGAGCAAGAGGGGGAAACCCUAGCUUCAAGAAACCAAGCAAUUGAAUCUGAAUUCAUAAGAUAAUCCAGUGCAUGAGCCCUGGAAUUUGAGUAGCUAACCCCAAUUUAUGAAGUGGCGUGAAGGAAGAAGGUUCCAAUACUAGGAAAUCGGAAAGUUCACAAGAUCGAGGUAAAUCCUCGACUUAGGUGACUUGGCAAUUUGGAGUGAACACACGCAUUUAUUAUGACCGUCAAGCGCUUCUGCUAUUUUGUAGUAAUAUUAUGGGUCAAAAUACUUGUUGUGUAUAACCUUGUUAGUAGCUAUACUUGUUAAACUUGAUGUUAUGGUUUUUGGUCGCGUCUGUCAAACGGGUUGUAGACUUUUUAUAUAGAUGAUGGUUAAAACAGGGAUACACUCGUCGUAUGGAUGGGUCAUGCCCAAAUUUUGUUAAAG